CUGAAGGGCUGAGAAGCCUGUGGUCCACAUUGGAACUCGGAUGACUACAUUGGCUCCGAGGAGGAGAGCAGCUUGCGAAAGGAGCUGAAGCUGCCGGCUGACUUGCUUUCAGUCUUACUGUGGUUCUUAGUAGCUCCAACCCUGAGCCGGUGGUGGGGACUUCAAAGGCCAAGAGGUUCCACUUCUAGAUUAUGGAGUGUCUUCUCUCCUUUAGAAAGACUUUAGAGAUGGCAGUUGAGACUUGCCUGGAAUAUCUUUCUCACCUGGUUUGAAAGAUGUGUUGGUUACACACAAAGUCUCUGAAGUUCGACAGGCAUGGUAGUUUGAAUCCUGGCUCCACCCCUUCCUAGAGCUAUCACCUUGGACACUUAACUUCUC